AGCCCCGCGAACCCGACCGCGUUCCGUCAGCGGCCGCCGCCGACCCCGUCGCGCUCCCCGUGACGUCACAGCCGGCGACGGCCACCCGCGCAAGCGUACAGCGGCUAUCCCGGGUUUCCCCGGCGGCGGCGAUUGGUCCCGUGAUUCCCCGCGGCGGCCCCGACUCCGUCGAUACCAAUCGAUACUAAUCAAUUAUCAAUAAUCGAGGUAAUCAGAAUAUCGUGGCGCAUCCUUUGUUCCCAGCACUCAGCAGGCAGAGGCAGGGGCAUGACGGUGAUGGGAUGCGGAUGAAGAUCAACGCUCAUCAUAACCGUUGAUGCAUCCGAUUGAUGAAUUAGAAGACGCAGCUUUAUCAUCUCUAUCGAUUUUCCGAUGAUUUAUUUCCCAGCCGACACAACGAGGAGACAAAUCCACAAGGAACGAGGGAAGCAGUGAGUUUCGAUGAUGUGCAUGUGAACUUCACUGCAGAAGAGUGGAAUUUGCUGGAUCCUUCCCAGAAAAAUCUCUACAAAGAUGUGAUGCUGGAGACCUACUGGAACCUCAUUGCUAUUG